rnacentral:rRNA from 1 species
GUGAGGAAUAUUGCGCAAUGGAGGCAACUCUGACGCAGCCAUGCCGCGUGCAGGAAGAAGGCGCUACGCGUUGUAAACUGCUUUUAACCGGGAAGAAACCCCAGGACGUGUCCUGGGUUGACGGUACCGGAGGAAUAAGCACCGGCUAACUUCGUGCCAGCAGCCGCGGUAAUACAAAGGGUGCAAGCGUUAUCCGGAUUCAUUGGGUUUAAAGGGUGCGUAGGCGGAGCGUUAAGUCAGUGGUGAAAUCCUGCAGCUUAACUGUAGACUUGCCAUUGAUACUGGCGCUCUUGAGUGCGCUGGAAGUGGGCGGAAUGUGCCGUGUAGCGGUGAAAUGCUUAGAUAUGGCACAGAACACCAAUUGCGAAGGCAGCUCACUAAGGCGAUACUGACGCUGAGGCACGAAAGCGUGGGGAUCGAACAGGAUUAGAUACCCUAGUAGUCC